UACGGAGGGGGCUAGCGUUGUUCGGAAUUACUGGGCGUAAAGCGCGCGUAGGCGGACCUGCAAGUCGGGGGUGAAAUCCCGGAGCUCAACUUCGGAACUGCCUUUGAUACAGCACGUCUUGAGUCCGGAAGAGGUGGGUGGAAUUCCUAGUGUAGAGGUGAAAUUCGUAGAUAUUAGGAAGAACACCAGUGGCGAAGGCGGCUCACUGGUCCGGUACUGACGCUGAGGUGCGAAAGCGUGGGGAGCAAACAGGG
rnacentral:rRNA from 1 species